rnacentral:rRNA from 1 species
GUCUAAGUCGGUGCGAGCAGGUGGGGUAAAGAGAAGGGUGCAAACGUUGCGGGGGAUGAUGGGGCGGAAAGCGGACGUAGGCGGCUUUGCAAGUCGGAGGUGAAAUCCCUCGGCUUAACCAAGGAAGUGCAUCCGAAACUGCAGAGCUUGAGUACGAAAGAGGAUCGCGGAAUUCCCGGUGUAGAGGUGAAAUUCGUAGAUAUCGGGAGGAACACCAGUGGCGAAGGCGGCGAUCUGGGUCGAUACUGACGCUGAGGUGCGAAAGCGUGGGGAGCAAACAGGAUUAGAUACCCGGGUAUC